rnacentral:rRNA from 1 species
CUACGUGCCAGCAGCCGCGGUAAUACGCAGGGGGCAAGCGUUAUCCGGAUUUACUGGGUGUAAAGGGAGCGUAGACGGCGAAGCAAGUCUGGUGUGAAACCCCGGGGCUCAACCUCGGGCCUGCAUUGGAAACUGUUUUGCUUGAGUGCCGGAGAGGUAAGCGGAAUUCCUAGUGUAGCGGUGAAAUGCGUAGAUAUUAGGAGGAACACCAGUGGCGAAGGCGGCUUACUGGACGGCAACUGACGUUGAGGCUCGAAAGCGUGGGGAGCA